GUGUAAACGUAUUAAAAGAGUUUAUGACACUCCAAGUAGUUAACAAAACAAGUCAUCUUUUAACAUUACCAUAAAUAAUCAAUUUUUUUCUGCCAAUGCUUUUAAUUUAUCAUUACAAAUAUGAGAAGAGUAUGUUUAAACCAGAGUUACAGAUAUUUCUGUUUCCAUUUGACUGGCACUACUAUCUGAGCCAUGGUGAAGUUCAUACAUUCUCCUCUCCGGUUUAGAAAAUAUCAAUGAUUUGAGCAUAUUAUUGGCUUGAUUUCUAAAAGUUUGAGAAAAAAGAAUACAAAUGUAAAAUACAAUAACAGUAUUUGUCCACGCCAAAUAGUGUCCGAUAACUCUAGCUUUUGCCAACUGCAAUCGAAAGUGAGGUUUUUGCAGCCAUGAUGGCGGAUAAGUCUGAUCAACGAUAUUUAUUACAGUCGGUGGCAGCACUAACAAAAAGUAAAACAUAGAUAAAACUAGAGUGGCAUGCGUCAGUACCAUCGGUGUCAUUUCGUUGUCAGUUUCUUCCGGUACAUUUCGUAUACAUAGUCCCGUGAAUAUUAAUAUAUCAAAAGUUAUGAUUAAAGCUAAUGGAAUGAAUGAAUAACAACUCGCAGACAUCCAAGGCCAGAUAACAACAUGUAAAUCAUCAUCAUUAUGAAAGAAAAAACAACCAUCCAUCAGUUCAUAUGUCCACAUUGCAUGUACACUUACAACAAUAAGCCCAAUGAAGAUUGAUAUAGUAGCAAAUUUGGCCAUGAACAAAGUACAUAUCUUUGAUGAUUUUUUCCUAUGCCAGAUCGUUAUAUAGCGGUCGAUUGUCAUAGAAACAACAAACCAAAUGCUAGAAUAUGUUACCAACUCGACUAAAAAAUUGCCAUAAUCUACAUAUCCAGUCUGCCUGACUGUCUAUAGAUCGUGUUUCUGCUACUAACGCCACCCACUCUGAUCCCAAAAAUAAAUAUAGCGUCAAC
rnacentral:lncRNA from 1 species